UAGGGAAUAUUGGGCAAUGGAGGCAACUCUGACCCAGCCAUGCCGCGUGCCGGAUGAAGGCCUUAUGGGUUGUAAACGGCUUUUACCAGGGAAGAAACUACCUUUGCGAAGGGAACUGACGGUACCUGGUGAAUAAGCACCGGCUAACUCCGUGCCAGCAGCCGCGGUAAUACGGAGGGUGCAAGCGUUGUCCGGAUUUAUUGGGUUUAAAGGGUGCGUAGGCGGCUUGGUAAGUCCGUGGUGAAAGCCAACAGCUCAACUGUUGAACUGCCAUGGAUACUGCCAGGCUUGAGUACAGACGAGGUAGGCGGAAUGGAUAGUGUAGCGGUGAAAUGCAUAGAUACUAUCCAGAACUCCGAUUGCGAAGGCAGCUUACUAGGCUGUAACUGACGCUGAGGCACGAAAGCGUGGGGAGCGAACAGGAUUAGAUCCCCUGGUAGUCCACGCUGUAAACGAUGAUUACUCGAUGUUGGCGAUACACGGCCAGCGUCUUAGCGAAAGCGUUAAGUAUCCA
rnacentral:rRNA from 1 species